GAUGAACGCUGGCGGCGUGCUUAGCACAUGCAAGUCGAACGGAAAGGCCCAAGCUUGCUUGGGUACUCGAGUGGCGAACGGGUGAGUAACACGUGGGUGAUCUGCCCUGCACUUCGGGAUAAGCCUGGGAAACUGGGUCUAAUACCGGAUAGGACGAUGGUUUGGAUGCCAUUGUGGAAAGUUUUUUCGGUGUGGGAUGAGCUCGCGGCCUAUCAGCUUGUUGGUGGGGUAAUGGCCUACCAGGGCGUCGACGGGUAGCCGGCCUGAGAGGGUGGACGGCCGCAUUGGGACUGAGAUACGGCCCAGACUCGUACGGGGGGCAGCAGUGGGGAAUAUUGCACAAUGGGCGCAAGCCUGAUGCAGCGACGCCGCGUGGGGGAUGACGGCCUUCGGGUUGUAAACUCCCUUCGCUAGGGACGAAGCGUUUUUGUGACGGUACCUGGAGAAGAAGCACCGGCUAACUACGUG
rnacentral:rRNA from 1 species